rnacentral:rRNA from 1 species
UACGUAGGGUGCAAGCGUUGUCCGGAAUUAUUGGGCGUAAAGAGCUCGUAGGCGGUUUGUCGCGUCUGCUGUGAAAUCCCGAGGCUCAACCUCGGGCUUGCAGUGGGUACGGGCAGACUAGAGUGCGGUAGGGGAGAUUGGAAUUCCUGGUGUAGCGGUGGAAUGCGCAGAUAUCAGGAGGAACACCGAUGGCGAAGGCAGAUCUCUGGGCCGUAACUGACGCUGAGGAGCGAAAGCAUGGGGAGCGAUCCGG